rnacentral:rRNA from 1 species
UACAGACGGUCCCAAGCGUUGUUCGGAUUCACUGGGCGUAAAGGGCGCGUAGGCGGCCGAUUAAGUCGGGGGUGAAAGCCUGUGGCUCAACCACAGAAUUGCCUUCGAUACUGAUUGGCUUGAGACCGGAAGAGGUCAGUGGAACUGCGAGUGUAGAGGUGAAAUUCGUAGAUAUUCGCAAGAACACCAGUGGCGAAGGCGGCUGACUGGUCCGGUUCUGACGCUGAGGCGCGAAAGCGUGGGGAGCAAACAGG